UUCUUAGUGGCGGACGGGUGAGUAACGCGUGGGUAACCUGCCUUAUACAGGGGGAUAACACUUAGAAAUAGGUGCUAAUACCGCAUAAGCGCACGGGGCUGCAUGGCCCAGUGUGAAAAACUCCGGUGGUAUAAGAUGGACCCGCGUCUGAUUAGCUUGUUGGCGGGGUAACGGCCCACCAAGGCGACGAUCAGUAGCCGGCCUGAGAGGGUGGACGGCCACAUUGGGACUGAGACACGGCCCAAACUCCUACGGGAGGCAGCAG
rnacentral:rRNA from 1 species